rnacentral:lncRNA from 1 species
UAACUCCUUUACCAUAUUUUUUUUUUUUUCGAUUUUGCCUCUACUUAAUUUUUUUUCCGUUCGAUUUUUGGCCCCUACUCAGCAUAACUCAUUUUGUAAUUUAGAUUCUUGAUUAAUGAUUGUUUUAUUUUUGAAAACAUCGCUCGUGCAGUUAGCACAGGUACUUUCCCACUAGAGUGUGUAUAUAUAUAUAUAUAACUUUAUAUAUAUAACUGUGGAGUAUAGCGUAAGGGGUGACCACCAACUUUCUUUCCUAUUUUGCCCUUGCAGCCAAAAAAAAAAUUUCUGAUAAAUUACAGGUUCAUCCCUAGACUUUUCUAAUAAUACAGUUUGGUUCCAUAAUAGUUUCUUCCUGAUUAUUACGUUUGUCCCUAUAAUUCUAAUCUUACAGAUUGGGCCCUAGAGUUGCGUGUAAAUUACAUUUGAGACCCUUAGUUCUCGGUUAUUAUUAUUUUGGGUCUCAAAAUUUUUAUUUUGUCAAUUCUUUGGGGGGGGGGAAAAAAAAACCCAAAACUUUUUAAUUUUGGGCAGUUGGGCCUCGUGAACAUUCCUAGAAUUUUUUAAAUAAUUACAGUUUAGUACCUAGAUUUACUAAUAAUUAUAGAUUGAUCCCUAAAGUUACUGUAAAAUUAUAUUUUUACCAAAAUUUUUAAUUAUUUUUAAUGUGCGUUGGUUUUACCAAAUUUUUUUAUUUUUAUUUUGCUCCCCUAAUUUUUUUUUUUUGAUUUUGCCCCUACUGUAAUUUUUUUUUUUUCGAUUGGCCCCAUAUGAUAGUAAAUCAUCUACCAUAUUUUUUCCUCGAUUUGGCCCCUACUCAUAUUAACCUCAUUUACCAUUAUUUUUUUUUUUUAUUUUUUUCAACGAUUUUGCCACUAUUCACAUUAACUCAUUUACCACCAUUUGUUUGUAUUUUGCCCCUACUUAAUUUUUUUUCGUCCGAUUCCUUGCCCCUACUCACAUUAACUCAUAGAUUUAUGUUGUUGGUUAGGAUGCUUAUUUUGUAAAACUAUCCCAACUCAUAGCACGGGUAUUUCUAUUGUGGCCCCUUAUAAAUGUGAGUGAAUAGUAGGUCUCUAACCACCCUUUUUUUUUUGAUUUUACCCCUUUGUAAUUUUUUUUUUAACUCAUUGUACCCACAAUUUUUUUUUUUCGAUUUUGUCCAAAAUUAGUGAAUGUGAGUAAUAUUAUCUCAUUUGCAACUAUUUUUUUUUUUCCAUUUUGUCCCUUGGUAACUUAUUACCACAAGUUUUUGUUUUUGUUUCGAUUUUUGCCCCUAACCUCCCAUUUUUUAUUUUCGAUUUUGCCCUUAAAAUUACUCGCCCUUGCAUAGCACGGGCAUAACCCAUAGUAUAGAUAUAUUAUAUAUAAUUAUAUAUAUGUCCUGUGCGUGGUGAUUGCAUUAAUGGGCCCCAGAUGUGUCCCACCCACACUACACUCGCCACCAAAGGUCCCCGUCCGUGUCAAUGGUUUUUGGCAGGCUUUGUGGGCCAUGAGACCUAUGCCCACCACGAAUCGCCAUAAAAUGCACACAAAUUUGGUUUUUUUGUGGGAUAUGUUUUUUUUUUUUUUAAUGAUUUGUUUUUUGGUUGUUUUGAUCAACUUUUUAUAUUUUUUUUUUCAUUUCUUUUUACGAGGAAAAUUUACAAAUAUAUAAAAAUCAUCUAAUUUAAAAAAAAAUAUCUAAAUAUGAAAACAAUAUUUUUUUACCCCCCAAUUGUUUUUUUUUUCUUUAUUGAUUUUUUUUUGAAUUAUAUCAUAUUUUUAAUAUAUUUCAAGAUUUCCUAAACAUCAAGAUAAACCGAAAAAAUAUAAAAUCUUGAUCAGCAACAAUUUUUUUUUUUUUAAAACAAAAAAACCUCAAAAUAUAAGUGAAAAACAAAUCAAUAACCCCAACUAAAAAUAUUGUUAUCAAUAAAACUCAUGUCAGGACAACGUGGGCUGAAAUUAGAAAGCCAACCGCUUUUAGGCGCACAAAUUUUUUAAAAAAAUUUAUGGCCCCUAAAAUUAAGUCUUUAUUAUUAGGCCCUUCCCAAUCAAAAUUGCUUCAUUGUUAAAUAUUUUUUGCCUAUAUAAUUUAUGAGUUCCAAAUAGGUGGUCAAAAAAUUCGAUGAGCAAACUGAAUUAUUUCAAAACUAUCAUGUCAAUCUGUCGAAAAGAUAAAAAAUAAAACAAAAGUGUAUUGAUAUACACAAAACUUGUUUAAGGUGGUUAGGUGCUAGUGAAUUGAUUGCUAAGGUGAUAUAUUAUUGUGUGAACGCCAACAUUUCCUUAAUCCUGUGAAUUAUUGUUGUAAUCUAUUUUUUUUUAAUGAAACAUCUAAAAUUUUACAAUAAAUUGCGAUUAUUUUAAAUAUAUAGGGCUAUUUUGACGCUUUAGACUCCUAAAAGAUUAGGCCCGGUUGUGCUCCUAGUCGCCAUAUCAUUCUUUUUUUUUUUAAUCACUUUUACGACCAAUAUAUCUAUUCUCCUCCACCACCACCACCACCGUUGUUCAAGUUUUC